rnacentral:rRNA from 1 species
UACGAAGGGGACUAGCGUUGUUCGGAAUUACUGGGCGUAAAGCGCACGUAGGCGGAUUUGUUAGUCAGGGGUGAAAUCCCGGGGCUCAACCUCGGAACUGCCUUUGAUACUGCAAAUCUCGAGUCCGAUAGAGGUGGUGGAAUUCCUAGUGUAGAGGUGAAAUUCGUAGAUAUUAGGAAGAACACCGGUGGCGAAGGCGCCCACUGGAUCGGUACUGACGCUGAGGUGCGAAAGCGUGGGAGCAAACAGG